UACGUAGGGUGCGAGCGUUAAUCGGAAUUACUGGGCGUAAAGCGUGCGCAGGCGGUUUUGUAAGUCUGUCGUGAAAUCCCCGGGCUCAACCUGGGAAUGGCGAUGGAGACUGCAAGGCUAGAGUUUGGCAGAGGGGGGUAGAAUUCCACGUGUAGCAGUGAAAUGCGUAGAUAUGUGGAGGAACACCGAUGGCGAAGGCAGCCCCCUGGGUCAAAACUGACGCUCAUGCACGAAAGCGUGGGGAGCAAACAGG
rnacentral:rRNA from 1 species